AAUCUACCACAUGAUAGGAUGGAAAUAUCAUGAUUCUCAGGCAAGACCAGCUGAAAGAGGUUCUGCAACUGUGUCGUUUGGAGAGCUGGGAAAACUAAACCUCAUGUCACAGGGGAAAAAGUAACAAUAAAUAUUUUAUUUAAUU